rnacentral:rRNA from 1 species
GGGGAAUAUUGCACAAUGGAGGAAACUCUGAUGCAGCAACGCCGCGUGAGUGAUGAAGGUCUUCGGAUUGUAAAGCUCUGUCUUCUGGGACGAUAAUGACGGUACCAGAGGAGGAAGCCACGGCUAACUACGUGCCAGCAGCCGCGGUAAUACGUAGGUGGCAAGCGUUGUCCGGAUUUACUGGGCGUAAAGGAUGUGUAGGCGGAUAUUUAAGUGAGAUGUGAAAUCCCCGGGCUUAACCUGGGGGGUGCAUUUCAAACUGGUUGUCUAGAGUACAGGAGAGGAAAGUGGAAUUUCUAGUGUAGCGGUGAAAUGCGUAGAUAUUAGGAAGAACACCAGUGGCGAAGGCGGCUUUCUGGACUGUUACAGACGCUGAGGCAUGAAAGCAUGGGUAGCGAAC